UACGUAGGGGGGCAAGCGUUGUCCGGAUUUAUUUGGGCGUAAAGAGCGUGUAGGCGGUUUGGUAGGUCCGUUGUGAAAACUCGAGGCUCAACCUCGAGACGCCGAUGGAAACCAUCAGACUAGAGUCCGGAAAGAGGAGAGUGGAAUUCCUGGUGUAGCGGUGAAAUGCGCAGAUAUCAGGAAGAAACACCCCUGGCUAAGGCGGCUCUCUAGUACGGGUACUUGACGCUGAGACGCGAAAAGCUGGGGAGC
rnacentral:rRNA from 1 species